CCGAGNNNCUGAACCCUCAGGUCGACCUCCCACCCCAUGUUUAUCAUUACCCUGUUGCUUUGGCGAUGCGGCCUUCGGGUCAUCUCGGCUCGCCAUAGCCCCAACCAAACUCUUUUAUUAGUGUUGUCCGAGUCGUAUAUAAUCGUUAA
rnacentral:rRNA from 1 species